rnacentral:misc_RNA from 1 species
AAGUCGUAACAAGGUUUCCGUAGGUGAACCUGCGGAAGGAUCAUUAGUGAAUUAAACAUGCUUGGUGUCUUCGCUUCGGCAAGGCCCUUGCUUAAAUCACAUCCUAACACCUGUGAACUGUAAGACGUAUGAUGAGGUCUUUGGCCAAGUCAUCGUCUGCCCUUUUUUAACAAACAAUUAAUGUAACAAACGUAGUCUUAUUAUAACCUAAUAAAACUUUCAACAACGGAUCUCUUGGCUCUC